CUUAAAGGAAUUGACGGGGGCCCGCACAAGCGGUGGAGCAUGUGGUUUAAUUCGAUGAUACGCGAGGAACCUUACCUGGGCUCAAAUGUAUGUUUGACGUAUUCUGAAAGGGAUACUUCUUCGGACAAUAUACAAGGUGCUGCAUGGUUGUCGUCAGCUCGUGCCGUGAGGUGUCGGGUUAAGUCCCAUAACGAGCGCAACCCCUAUCAUUAGUUGCCAUCAGGUCAAGCUGGGGACUCUAAUGAAACUGCCUACGCAAGUAGUGAGGAAGGUGGGGAUGACGUCAAAUCAGCACGGCCCUUACGUCCAGGGCGACACACGUGCUACAAUGGCCGGCACAGCGGGAAGCGAGGCAGUGAUGCCGAGCGGAUCCCUUAAAGCCGGUCUCAGUUCGGAUUGAAGUCUGCAACUCGACUUCAUGAAGCUGGAAUCGCUAGUAAUCGCAGAUCAGCCAAGCUGCGGUGAAUACGUUCCCGGGCCUU
rnacentral:rRNA from 1 species